rnacentral:rRNA from 1 species
GCGAACGCUGGCGGCAGGCCUAACACAUGCAAGUCGAACGAACCUUUCGGGGUUAGUGGCGGACGGGUGAGUAACACGUGGGAACGUGCCUUUAGGUUCGGAAUAACUCAGGGAAACUUGUGCUAAUACCGAAUGUGCCCUUCGGGGGAAAGAUUAAUCGCCUUUAGAGCGGCCCGCGUCUGAUUAGCUAGUUGGUUGAGGUAAUGGCUCACCAAGGCGACGAUCAGUAGCUGGUCUGAGAGGAUGAUCAGCCACAUUGGGACUGAGACACGGCCCAAACUCCUACGGGAGGCAGCAGUGGGUAAUCUUGCGCAAUGGGCGAAAGCCUGACGCAGCCAUGCCGCGUGAAUGAUGAAGGUCUUAGGAUUGUAAAAUUCUUUCACCGGGGACGAUAAUGACGGUACCCGGAGAAGAAGCCCCGGCUAACUUCGUG